UCAUCUUAAACAGACACUUUGUCAUUUACAAGUAAGUGUGCUUUGUUUGGUCUCAAACGUGCUUUCAAAACACGCGAGUCAAAGUCCGCCGAGUGAUUUGCUCCUCGUAAUAUUCCCGACUUGGAUCAGUAUGCGCGUCGGGCUGCGUUGUAGCAGCCUCUGCUGGACGCUGUGAGAGAAUCCACAGCGAGACGGAAAGAUGGCGCAGCCACACUGGUUCCUGUUUCCUGGCUUCCCAAAGCGGAAAUCUGCUUAUGAAACGAGACCGGGCAUCAUCACUCCAUCUCGGACACGUUAGAGACGAAAGAUAUAGAUUGUGCCCAAUUUGAACGGAAGACAAUGGGCCUUUACACACUUUGCAUUCUGGAGAUCUUCACCGGUAAAAAAACGGACUAAAAUAUAUACAAGUUUAAAUUUGACAAUUGUCAGAAAUAUUGUAUGUAAAGUAUCCAAAAACUUUCCGUUCUCUAAGUUCCCAAUGAACAGUCAAGAGGUUGUCUUUGUUGCACCAAGCAGAGGCUUGGAAAAUUCCAUUGUGUACGAUGGGAGGAGACGGGAGGGGGGUUAUCUAUUGUGAUCCAAGACUGAUCCAAGCUGAAUCCAGGACCAGCCCAAGCCCGAGGCAUCUUUUCCUUUUGUGUUAAUGUGACCGAAAACAAUGACUGUUUACAUACUCCCCAUUCCUUUAGAAACAGCUGUUAUGUAAACAGGGAAAAUCCAAAUAAAAAGAGGUGGCGUACAAUCUUUCGCCAGAGCGUGCUGGAGACUGUACAAGAGUACAGUCGCCGCGUUUCUCCUCAAUUGAGCCAAAUUGAAUUCUGUCUGUGUUUAUUUCUUUGCUUCUUGUCUCGUUUAAUAGAUGUCAUCAGUGUUUGAACCUGACAACAAUGGCGGCAUAUUACUUACAUCUCUUGUUCGUUAGACGUGCUCAUGUGGAUCAAUUCCACCAAUUUAACUUGUAUUUUCCA